rnacentral:tRNA from 1 species
GCCCCGGUGGCUUAGCCCGGUUAAAGCGCCCGCCUUGUACGCGGGAGAUCCCGGGUUCGAAUCCCGGCCGGGGCU